UAGGGAAUUUUCCACAAUGGGCGAAAGCCUGAUGGAGCAACGCCGCGUGCAGGAUGAAGGCCUUCGGGUUGUAAACUGCUUUUUUUAGCGACGAUUAUGACGGUAGCUAACGAAUAAGGGUCUGCUAACUACGUGCCAGCAGCCGCGGUCAUACGUAGGACCCAAGCGUUAUCCGGAAUUACUGGGCGUAAAGAGUUGCGUAGGUGGCAUAGUAAGUUGGUAGUGAAAGCGUGUGGCUCAACCAUACAUCCAUUACCAAAACUACUAAGCUAGAGGACAAGAGAGGUCACUGGAAUUUCUAGUGUAGGAGUGAAAUCCGUAGAUAUUAGAAGGAACACCGAUGGCGUAGGCAGGUGACUGGCUUGUUCCUGACACUAAGGCACGAAAGCGUGGGGAGCGAACGGGAUUAGAUACCCGCGUAGUCC
rnacentral:rRNA from 1 species